GAUGAACGCUGGCGGCGUGCCUAAUACAUGCAAGUCGAGCGAACAGACGAGGAGCUUGCUCCUCUGACGUUAGCGGCGGACGGGUGAGUAACACGUGGAUAACCUACCUAUAAGACUGGGAUAACUUCGGGAAACCGGAGCUAAUACCGGAUAAUAUAUUGAACCGCAUGGUUCAAUAGUGAAAGACGGUUUUGCUGUCACUUGGAGAUGGAUCCGCGCCGCAUUAGCUAGUUGGUAAGGUAACGGCUUACCAAGGCAACGAUGCGUAGCCGACCUGAGAGGGGGAGCGGCCACAGGGGGACUGAGAGACGGACCAGACGCCAACGGGAGGCAGCAGUGGGGAAGAGGGCACAAUGGGCGGGAGCGUGAUGCAGCAACGCCGCGUGCGGGAUGACGGCCUUCGGGUGGUAAACCGCUGUCGCCUGUGACGAAGCGGGAGUGACGGUAAGGGGUAAAGAAGCACCGGCUAACUACGUG
rnacentral:rRNA from 1 species